AUUGAACGCUGGCGGCAGGCCUAACACAUGCAAGUCGAGCGGAUGAAGGGAGCUUGCUCCUGGAUUCAGCGGCGGACGGGUGAGUAAUGCCUAGGAAUCUGCCUGGUAGUGGGGGAUAACGUCCGGAAACGGGCGCUAAUACCGCAUACGUCCUGCGGGAGAAAGUGGGGGAUCUUCGGACCUCACGCUAUCAGAUGAGCCUAGGUCGGAUUAGCUAGUUGGUGGGGUAAAGGCCUACCAAGGCGACGAUCCGUAACUGGUCUGAGAGGAUGAUCAGUCACACUGGAACUGAGACACGGUCCAGACUCCUACGGGAGGCAGCAGUGGGGAAUAUUGGGCAAUGGGCGAAAGCCUGAUCCAGCCAUGCCGCGUGUGUGAAGAAGGUCUUCGGAUUGUAAAGCACUUUAAGUUGGGAGGAAGGGCAGUAAGUUAAUACCUUGCUGUUUUGACGUUACCAACAGAAUAAGCACCGGCUAACUUCGUG
rnacentral:rRNA from 1 species